rnacentral:rRNA from 1 species
AGUGAACGCUGGCGGUAGGCCUAUCACAUGCAAGUCGAACGGCAGCACAGUAAGAGCUUGCUCUUACGGGUGGCGAGUGGCGGACGGGUGAGGAAUACAUCGGAAUCUACUUUUUCGUGGGGGAUAACGUAGGGAAACUUCCGCUAAUACCGCAUACGACCUACGGGUGAAAGCAGGGGAUCUUCGGACCUUGCGCGAUUGAAUGAGCCGAUGUCGGAUUAGCUAGUUGGCGAGGUAAAGGCCCACCAAGGCGACGAUCCGUAGCUGGUCUGCGAGGAUGAUCAGCCACACUGGAACUGAGACACGGUCCAGACUCCUACGGGAGGCAGCAGUGGGGAAUAUUGGACAAUGGGCGCAAGCCUGAUCCAGCCAUACCGCGUGAGUGAAGAAGGCCUUCGGGUUGUAAAGCCCUUUUGUUGGGAAAGAAAAGCAGCAGGUUAAUACCCCGCUGUUCUGACGGUACCCAAAGAAUAAGCACCGGCUAACUUCGUG